UGAGGAAUAUUGGUCAAUGGGCGAGAGCCUGAACCAGCCAAGUCGCGCGAAGGAAGACAGUCCUAAGGAUUGUAAACUUCUUUUAUACGGGAAUAACGGGCGAUACGAGUAUUGCAUUGAAUGUACCGUAAGAAUAAGCAUCGGCUAACUCCGUGCCAGCAGCCGCGGUAAUACGGAGGAUGCGAGCGUUAUCCGGAUUUAUUGGGUUUAAAGGGUGCGUAGGUUGUUCGGUAAGUCAGCGGUGAAACCUGGGCGCUCAACGUUCAGCCUGCCGUUGAAACUGCCGGGCUUGAGUUCAGUGGCGGCAGGCGGAAUUCGUGGUGUAGCGGUGAAAUGCAUAGAUAUCACGAGGAACUCCGAUUGCGAAGGCAGCUUGCCAUACUGCGACUGACACUGAAGCACGAAGGCGUGGGUAUCAAACAGGAUUAGAUACCCUGGUAGUCCACGCAGUAAACGAUGAUUACUAGGAGUUUGCGAUAUACCGUCAAGCUUCCACAGCGAAAGCGUUAAGUAAUCCACCUGGGGAGUACGCCGGCAACGGUG
rnacentral:rRNA from 1 species